AACAUAUAACAUAAUAAAUUAACAUAAACACUUUUUAUACAGUAAUCAAGAAACCGUCCUUGCCAAUCUAACUUCCCCAAGGCUCUCACCUCCCCCCCUCGGCAUAAUAAAACCUCUUCCUUUUCAGGGCUCCCCACCAGCCGGUUUUCCGCUCAGUGGGGCCCAACCAUAAUGCUCCCCACUGGUCGACUUACAACCCAGUGGGGACACGUCCAACCUGGUACCUCCUCCAGGUUCACCAUAAGAGACAGGGGGAGGAUGAGACCUGGCCAUUAUCCCCCUUUUCAUCUAAUCUAC